GUGGGGAAUUUUGGACAAUGGGCGCAAGCCUGAUCCAGCAAUGCCGCGUGCAGGAAGAAGGCCUUCGGGUUGUAAACUGCUUUUGUACGGAACGAAACGGUCCUGGUUAAUACCUGGGGCUAAUGACGGUACCGUAAGAAUAAGCACCGGCUAACUACGUGCCAGCAGCCGCGGUAAUACGUAGGGUGCUAGCGUUAAUCGGAAUUACUGGGCGUAAAGCGUGCGCAGGCGGUGCUGUAAGACAGGCGUGAAAUCCCCGGGCUCAACCUGGGAAUUGCGCUUGUGACUGCAGGGCUGGAGUACGGCAGAGGGGGAUGGAAUUCCGCGUGUAGCAGUGAAAUGCGUAGAUAUGCGGAGGAACACCGAUGGCGAAGGCAGUCCCCUGGGCCUGUACUGACGCUCAUGCACGAAAGCGUGGGGAGCAAACAGGAUUAGAAACCCGAGUAGUCC
rnacentral:rRNA from 1 species